CCUACGGGAGGCUGCAGUGGGGAAUAUUGCACAAUGGGCGAAACCCUGAUGCAGCGACGCCGCGUGAAGGAAGAAGUAUUUCGGUAUGUAAACUUCUAUCAGCAGGGAAGAAAAUGACGGUACCUGACUAAGAAGCCCCGGCCAACUACGUGCCAGCAGCCGCGGUAAUACGCAGGGCGCAAGCGUUAUCCGGAUUUACUGGGUGUAAAGGGAGCGUAGGCGGCGAUGCAAGUCAGAAGUGAAAGCCCGGGGCUCAACUCCGGGACUGCUUUUGAAACUGUGUUGCUAGAGUGCAGGAGAGGUAAGUGGAAUUCCUGGUGUAGCGGUGAAAUGCGUAGAUAUUAGGAGGAACACCAGUGGCGAAGGCGGCUUACUGGACUGUAAAUGACGCUGAGGCUCGAAAGCGUGGGGAGCAAACAGGAUUAGAUACCCUUGUAGUC
rnacentral:rRNA from 1 species